AUUAACAUGUAAUGCAUCUUUUUAUAGGAGAAAUCAUUACCUGGAAUAGGUCCAUCUCAUUGUUUCAAUGCCCGCCAGUUUUAAAGAAAAAAAAUUUAUAAAUCUCAAAAAGUCUGAAACUCAGUGGUGGACAUCAGCAAACGUUGUUACCUUUGUUCCUUGGUAGGCCAUCCAUGGUUGACUCAGUAGAUCAACUUGAGAGUUCAGGAAGCUGAUUUCGUCUUCCCACUGCAGCAAAAGCUCCACUUGUUUUUCAUUGCCAACUGCCUAUUUGUUACUUCUUGCAAUAGAGAAUCUGUUCUAGAAGCCAAGCAAAACAAGCAUUUUUGCAUAAACAAUGCAAAGUCUUUUAAAAAUUA